GGGUAAGCACGUCUUGAAGGGAGGGGUCUGGGCCCUUGGUGCCCGGAAAGAGAAGACGGAAGUGGAGCGAGGACAAAAUGGCUGCAAAGGUGCCACAAACUACCAAGAGCAUCUACCACAUGGUUACAUCCAGAGGGAAGUAACAGGAGUCCACAUUUGUUCAACAAAUAUGAGUGGCACUCUUUUUACCAUGUUAGGUGCUGCUAGGGUUACAAAGAUGAAUGACACAGUCUUUUGUCUAUGAAGAGACUUCAGUCUAAUAAAGCAAAACAGGAAGCUGACUUCCAGAUGAUCUUUGUGUUUUCCUUAGAGCAGCAAGCCGGUUCUGGCUGACACCCCUUCCUACGGCCCAGAUGCACUUCAUGACUGUGGUGGGAAGGUAGUGGGAAGCAGGACACUCAUUACCUGAUGUAAAUGCUUUCUCAAUCUAGUUAACUUUUGGAAUCCUUUAAGCAUGCUUAACAUUUUUU